GAUGAACGCUGGCGGCGUGCCUAAUACAUGCAAGUCGAGCGAACAGACCAUGAGCUUGCUCCUCUGACGUUAGCGGCUGACGGGUGAGUAACACGUGGAUAACCUACCUAUAUUUCUUGGAUAACUUCGUGAAACCGGUUCUUAUACCGCUUAAUAUAUUGAACCGCAUGGUUCAAUAGUUAAUGACGCUUUUGCUGUUUCUUUUAGCUGGUUCCGCGCGGCAUUAUGUAGUGGGUAGGGUAACGGCUUACCAGGGCGACGAUGCGAAGCAGACCUGAGAGGGUGAUCGGCCAAACAGGAGGGGAGAACCGGUCAAGAAUCCAACGGGAGGCAGCAGUGGGAAAACUUCAGCAAUGGGCGAAAGCCUAACGGAGCAACGCGGCGUGAGUGAUGAAGGUCUUCGGGUCGUAAAACUCUGUUAUUAGGAAAAAAAAAAUGAGUAAGUAACUAUGCAGGUCUUAAGGGAACCAAAAAAGAAGGCCAGGGCUAAUUACGU
rnacentral:rRNA from 1 species